GCUGGAAGGUCGUUUUGAGACUUUGCCAACAUGGACGACAGCGCGCGCGCGCCCGCCAUGGCCUGCUGGUGGUCGCUGCAGACAAGAUCAUUUCACUAAAUAUAAAACGUUCAAGAUACACUCCCUGGAUUUGUUGUUGCCAUGUCCAGCGACCCGCCCUGCUUCGACACGCCACCUGUGCAGAACGACCUGGUCGUCAAGGACACAGCCGACCGAAGCAGCAGGAACCUGCAGUCCACAUGAGGACAUGAUGACAAAACAAAACAAACCCUGAGACGACCUGAAGGCCAAGGAGACCAGUUACAUCCACAUGCAUCCUUCUAACCAUCCAAAGGCAUCUGAUCUGUCUUUAAUCCUGCUUGCUGCAUAACGUAAAACUCGUGGUGUUACCAGAUACUUCACUAUGUCCAGCAGCUUCGCUCCAACUUGUUCCAUUAUAAACACAGGAGGAAAGCAACAAAGCAGUUAAUCCAGAUGUAAAUUCUUAUGUAAUAAAGUGACAAUACCUCAUAACUGCAUUCCCACUUUUUAAGACUUUUACUCCAUUACAUUUCAGAGAAAAAUAUUUUACUUUACUUUUUACAACACUUGUAUUUUUCUGUAGAAAUGGUGUUGAAACCAUAGAUCAUAUAUUCUUUUCACGCAAUGGUUUUUGUAUUGAUUUUA